CAAUAGCGUAUAUUAAAGUUGUUGCAGUUAGAACGCUCGUAGUCGGAUUUCGGGGCGGGCCGACCGGUCUGCCGAUGGGUAUGCACUGGUCGGCGCGUCCUUCCUUCCGGAGACCGUCCCUACUCUUAACUGAGCGGGGGCGGGAGACGGGACUUUUACUUUGAAAAAAUCAGAGUGUUUCAAGCAGGCAGCUCGCUCUUGCAUGGAUUAGCAUGGGGUAAUGAAAUAGGACUUUGGUGCUAUUUUGUUGGUUUCGAACACCGAAGUAAUGAUUAAUAGGGACAGUUGGGGGUAUUCGUAUUCCGUUGUCAGAGGUGAAAUUCUUGGAUUUACGGAAGACGAACUACUGCGAAAGCAUUUACCAAGGAUGUUUUCAUUAA
rnacentral:rRNA from 1 species